AGUUAGCAUUAUACGGCGAAACUGCGAAUGGCUCAUUAUAUAAGUUAUCGUUUAUUUGAUAGCACCUUACUACUUGGAUAACCGUGGUAAUUCUAGAGCUAAUACAUGCUGAAAACCCCGACCUCUGGGAGGGGUGUAUUUAUUAGAUUAAAAACCAAUGCCCUCUGGGCUCUCUGGUGAUUCAUGAUAACUCGUCGAAUCGCACGGCCUUGCGCCGGCGAUGGUUCAUUCAAAUUUCUUCCCUAUCAGCUUUCGAUGUUUGGGUAGUGGCCAAACAUGGCUGCAACGGGUAACGGAGGGUUAGGGCUCGACCCCGGAGAAGGAGCCUGAGAAACGGCUACUACAUCCAAGGAAGGCAGCAGGCGCGCAAAUUACCCAAUCCCGACACGGGGAGGUAGUGACAAUAAAUACUGAUACAGGGCUCUUUUGGGUCUUGUAAUUGGAAUGAGUACAAUUUAAAUCCCUUAACGAGGAACAAUUGGAGGGCAAGUCUGGUGCCAGCAGCCGCGGUAAUUCCAGCUCCAAUAGCGUAUAUUAAAGUUGUUGUGGUUAAAAAGCUCGUAGUUGAACCUUGGGCCUGGCUGGCCGGUCCGCCUCACCGCGUGCACUGGUCCGGCCGGGCCUUUCCCUCCGCGGAACCCCAUGCCCUUCACUGGGCGUGGCGGGGAAACGGGACUUUUACUUUGAAAAAAUUAGAGUGCUCCAGGCAGGCCUAUGCUCGAAUACAUUAGCAUGGAAUAAUGAAAUAGGACGCGCGGUUCUAUUUUGUUGGUUUCUAGGACCGCCGUAAUGAUUAAUAGGGACAGUCGGGGGCAUCAGUAUUCAAUUGUCAGAGGUGAAAUUCUUGGAUCAAUUGAAGACUAACUACUGCGAAAGCAUUUGCCAAGGAUGUUUUCAUUAAUCAGGAACGAAAGUUAGGGGAUCGAAGACGAUCAGAUACCGUCGUAGUCUUAACCAUAAACUAUGCCGACUAGGGAUCGGACGAUGUUAUUACUUGACUCGUUCGGCACCU
rnacentral:rRNA from 1 species